rnacentral:lncRNA from 10 species
CAGCGGUGGAGGCCAGGGCACCAGGGUGGCAAUAUCAAUGUCAACUUUCAUUCUCUACCUGGGAGAACUUGCCGUCUAUGAAAGUUAAGAGUUGCAGAAGUCUUAUCAAAAUUGAAUGAAAGAAGAAAACUACAAGAAAAUGACCUAAAGGAAAGGGAAUAAAAGAAAACAAGAUCUUUUCUGGACGUUCAGUAUUAAAAGUUUUCAUGCUCAUUGAAAUGAAAAUUACAAAAUCAGAACUACAUAGUAGAUUUUGCAAGCAUGCAGCCGGAAGUGUAAGGGCUGGUGGACUUUAGGGGCCUAUGACUAGGAGACAGACUGGAAAACCAGAGACAGUACUGUGAACAUAAGCUACCUUUGCCAAAUAAAUUCUGGAACUUACUUCUUGAACUGAGAAGUUCAGAGAUGUUUUGGGACAGGACGCCAGACAGUUUGGAAUGACUUACUUGAUCUUACUGAAAAAAAAAUACAAUGUCUUUGAUUACUCUUCUCAGAGUUAGUCUCAUUUCCUACUUUAAUUAUUAAGGUUUUCCCUUUGCAUAUUAUUGUAUACUUGAACAUUCAUAAUAAUUCUUAAUUUUUUCAUAAAAAUGUAUUUAUCUGCAUGUAUGUGUGUACGUGUGUGUUGUUUGUGCAUGUGUGUCUCUAUGUUUUUAUAAAUAUCCCCUAAAUAGAUUGUGGUAGCUUGUUUCUUGUUUUCAGUUGGCUACCAUCAAUUUCUCUCCUCCCUGUAUCUAUCUAUUGCUCUACUCCCUUGAAUCUGGGCUCAUUUGUGACAGAUUUGCCAAAUAGAAUAUAGUGGAAGUGACGCUGUAUGACUUCCAACACUUCCCACACUUUGAAGCUUCUACCUGGGUCUCCUGGAAUUCCUGGUCUUGAAAUGCCACGCUGUUUGAAACCCAAGCCACACUAUGGCUAUGUGGAGAGACAAAAGAGGGAGAAAUCCUGACCAGCCCACAGGUAUUCUAGCUAUUCUAGUCUAGGAGCCAGGCAUGUGAGUAAAGAAGCUUUCAGAAUUCCAGCCUCAUCUGUCAUAUUUCUGCAACCAUUUGAAGGACACAAAAGUGAGUAACGCUCAGCUUCGUCAACCCCCAGAAAAAUGGAACAUAACAAUAAAUGACUGUUUUAAGCUACUAAGUUUUGGUGUGGUGUGUUACACACAGCAAUAAAUAACUGGAACAUACAAUAGACAUCCGAAGACAGACCUAACAUUUCUUACUUACGUCAUAAUGCUAUAAAAUUCAUCACCACUCUGUCAUUCCAGAAAUGUAACUAAAUUCUUAUAUCUAUCAUAUAUUUAGCUGAACAAUAUCACUUUACUCCACUUAUUUCAUUGGUCACAAAAAUACAUUUUUACAUUUUGUUGAAAUUUUUAAGGGCUAUAAAAUGAUACAAUAAAA